rnacentral:rRNA from 1 species
AUUGAACGCUGGCGGCAGGCUUAACACAUACAAGUCGAGCGGGGUGAUGGUGCUUGCACUAUCACUUAGCGGCGGACGGGUGAGUAAUGCUUAGGAAUCUGCCUAUUAGUGGGGGACAACAUCUCGAAAGGGAUGCUAAUACCGCAUACGUCCUACGGGAGAAAGCAGGGGAUCACUUGUGACCUUGCGCUAAUAGAUGAGCCUAGGUCGGAUUAGCUAGUUGGUGGGGUAAAGGCCUACCAAGGCGACGAUCUGUAGCGGGUCUGAGAGGAUGAUCCGCCACACUGGGACUGAGACACGGCCCAGACUCCUACGGGAGGCAGCAGUGGGGAAUAUUGGACAAUGGGGGGAACCCUGAUUCAGCCAUGCCGCGUGUGUGAAGAAGGCCUUAUGGUUGUAAAGCACUUUAAGCGAGGAGGAGGCUCUUUUGGUUAAUACCCAAGAUGAGUGGACGUUACUCGCAGAAUAAGCACCGGCUAACUCUGUGCCAGCCGCCGCCGUAA